GCCAGAGAAGAAGGAUUGGGUCUCUUGGAAACUUCUGCCUAACAGGACUUUGCUAGCCAAUGACGCAGGUCGGAUGUUUGCUGAGGUUCUGGAUCACACAGUGGACCAUGGGACUGAUCUUUGAACAGUCAGGAAGCAGGCGUGAUUCACCUGAGUUACUCAUUCGCCUUCCAGCAAACAGCUUGCAUCAUCUUCAUGCUGUGCCCACUAGAAGAUUUUCUUCUUCCGGUCGUUUGUGAUGGUUUCCAAAGUUUACUAAAAUGGUACCAGUUACCCUUCUUGU